AUACUUACCUGGCAGGGGAGAUAACAUGAUCACGAAGGUGGUUUUCCCAGGGCGAGACUUAUCCAUUGUGCUCUGGAUGUGCUGACCCCUGCAAUUUCCCCAUAAAAAGGAAAAAAAAAAAAACAUAUGGCAAAAUAAUAAUAAUUUAUAAAUUAUC
ensembl:snRNA U1 U1 spliceosomal RNA